rnacentral:rRNA from 1 species
AUGAGGCCCGCACGCCAGUGGAAGCCCCGGAGGAAGGUGUCCAUGCGGUGCGGGCUGCGGGCGGACUGGGCGCGGUGUAAAGGCCACGUGGGAAUGGGCCUCGCGCCCUUCUAUAUAUCCGCCUUCGGGCCGCCCGGUCUGCACCGCACCGCACUGCACGACAGCCAUCUCUUCCGUGCGGUUCCAAGCUCCAACUCCCACGCCCGUCUCCCCCGAGAUCAGGAGGAGCACGCCGCACCGGAGCGCCGAGACCUCGAAGCCUUCGUCUCCACCUCGGUGAGCGCCGCUGCCUUCAGCUUCCCCCCUUAA